GUGUGUCCUCUACAGCCGGUCAAUAGAGACUGGAUUGGGCUUAACCCAACUAUCGUUCCUUUAAUCGGGCCCUUGAUCGGGAGGGCCCACGCUAACCUCGGUUGGAGCCCCCAGACACACGACGCUAUAUAUAGGACUAAGGGGUCGCAGGAAAGACUAACGCUAGUACCUCGCCCCAAAACCCUAGUCCUCAGAGGCCCCCAUCGCCUAGGCGUCGGAGUGUUUGGAAAUGCGACAACCUACAGCGGCUCGGAUCCCAAUGCCUGCUGCUUCUCUGCAGGGCGACGAUAUGAAGAUAGCAACAGCAACAAAGAUUGCUAGUGAAGCAUUCCGUCAAACACCCACCGCAUGAAAGUAAUUAGUCUGCAGCUAGGAGAUGGAGUGCAUACGGAAGAACUCGUCUCAACUAAGAACAGAAAAGCACAUAUGCCAUCCAACUCUACCUCAUCACCAGGACGCAUACACACAAUCUCCACUGCGGAAAUUUCACGGCGACCAGAACAGUGUAUUUUCCCAGCAUACAUAAAUGAUAUACAUCUACUCUUUCUUCCCUGUUGGAGCAACUGGAAUACAGAAAACUUGCCCUUAACGACGACGGCAUAUGGCAUCACCGGGAGAGAUUUCUCCGACAGGGAUGCUGUUGCACGCGGGGCAUAUCCUUUUUGAGUGCAAAAUCAACACUCAAAAUUCUA